CGAGCACGCGCGUGUGGCAUAUCAAUAAGCGGAGGAAAAGAAACUAACAAGGAUUCCCUUAGUAACGGCGAGUGAAGCGGGAAGAGCUCAAAUUUGAAAUCUUCAAGGUUCUACCUUGACGAAUUGUAGUUUAUAGAAGUGUUUUCUGUUGAAGUUGAGUGCAAAAGUUCUUUGGAAUAGGACAUCAUAGAGGGUGAGAAUCCCGUAUUUGACCAGUUACUUUCCAGCUGUGUGAUACACUUUCGAAGAGUCGGAUUGUUUGGGAAUGCAGUCCAAAAUGGGUGGUAAAUUUCAUCUAAAGCUAAAUAUUGGCGAGAGACCGAUAGCGAACAAGUACCGUGAGGGAAAGAUGAAAAGAACUUUGAAAAGAGAGUUAAACAGUACGUGAAAUUGUCAAAAGGGAAGCGUUUGACACCAGUGUUGUUUUCUCGAAAAUCAAUUACGAAUGUUUUGUUUUUGAGGAGUUAUGACUUCAUCGGCUUGCUCCUUUCUUUACGAAACUUUCUUAAUGCACUUCUCGGUUAACAAGUCAACAUCAAUUUCUUUUGUUGUAAAAGGGUAUGAGGAAGGUGGCUUUCUUUUCGGAGAAAGUGUUUAUAGCCUUGUGCCUCUACAAUCGGAGAGAUUGAGGUCUGCAGCGUAGAUCCUUCGGGGUUAGAUACGUUUGUGCUAAGUUAUAGCUUUUCAUAGACAACUUGUUGACUAUGUUUAGUCUUGUAGCUUACUCGCUUACGCUAUUUUACCUACGCUUAGGAUGUUGAACUCUAUCACACACAG
rnacentral:rRNA from 1 species